UACGUAGGGUGCAAGCGUUGUCCGGAAUCAUUGGGCGUAAAGAGCUCGUAGGCGGUUCGGCAAGUCGGAUGUGAAAUCUCCACGCUCAACGUGGAGGGGCCAUUCGAAACUGCCGUGACUCGAGUCCGGUAGGGGAGUGUGGAAUUCCCGGUGUAGCGGUGAAAUGCGCAGAUAUCGGGUGGAACACCAGUGGCGAAGGCGCCUAUCUGGCUGACAACUGACGCUGAGACUCGAAAGCAUGGGGAGCAAACAGG
rnacentral:rRNA from 1 species